rnacentral:rRNA from 1 species
GGUUAAGCGACUAAGCGUACACGGUGGAUGCCCUGGCAGUCAGAGGCGAUGAAGGACGUGCUAAUCUGCGAUAAGCGUCGGUAAGGUGAUAUGAACCGUUAUAACCGGCGAUUUCCGAAUGGGGAAACCCAGUGUGUUUCGACACACUAUCAUUAACUGAAUCCAUAGGUUAAUGAGGCGAACCGGGGGAACUGAAACAUCUAAGUACCCCGAGGAAAAGAAAUCAACCGAGAUUCCCCCAGUAGCGGCGAGCGAACGGGGAGCAGCCCAGAGCCUGAAUCAGUGUGUGUGUUAGUGGAAGCGUCUGGAAAGGCGCGCGAUACAGGGUGACAGCCCCGUACACAAAAAUGCACAUGCUGUGAGCUCGAUGAGUAGGGCGGGACACGUGGUAUCCUGUCUGAAUAUGGGGGGACCAUCCUCCAAGGCUAAAUACUCCUGACUGACCGAUAGUGAACCAGUACCGUGAGGGAAAGGCGAAAAGAACCCCGGCGAGGGGAGUGAAAAAGAACCUGAAACCGUGUACGUACAAGCAGUGGGAGCACGCUUAGGCGUGUGACUGCGUACCUUUUGUAU